rnacentral:lncRNA from 1 species
GGCACCGAGAGUGUGCGUGCGUUCUUCUCCUCCAGGCAAAAUGGGGCUCGGGUUGGACGCCCGAGACAAAUCCCUCCAGUGCCUAGAGAGUUAAGUUAGUUGGGUUUCUUGUGUAGCUUCCCAGAACGAGGGAGAAAGACAGACCGAGAAGCGAACGCACGGUGCCUCCCGGGAGCGUCUCGAUCGCCGCUGCGGGUCCCCGCGCCCCGUCCCCGGCCGCUGGCGGAGCCCGGUCCCCGCGGCUCCCCGCGCCCUGCCUACCUGCCCGGCCGCGCUCGCCGCCCGCAGCCUCCCGUCGCCUCCCUCCUGAUUGGGCAGACGCCCCCCAAUCGGCUGCGCGGCUGGGCCGGUGGGACUGCAUAUGUAAAGCCCUACUUCAUAUUAAUAAGCUCCAAUCGGGGCUUUAAGUCCUUGAUUAGGAGAGUGUGAGAGCUUUGGUCCCAACUGGCUGUGCCUAUAGGCUUGUCACUAGGAGAACAUUUGUGUUAAUUGCACUGUGCUCUGUCAAGGAAACUUUGAUUUAUAGCUGGGGAGCACGAAUAAUGGUUGCCGGUCGCACAUGGAUUCGGUAGAACUUUGCCUGCCUGAAUCUUUUUCCCUGCACUACGAGGAAGAUGAACAAAACUUUAAUGUCUAGAGCAUUUAUGAGGGUUGUAAUGAUUGGAAAAUCUGUCCUGAGAAUGUGGUCACCAUAUGUGACAGCCUUGCUUUCUAUCUUGUCUUCAGUUUAUGGGGUAAGUUCGGUGAUAUUGUCUAUUGUCUUACUUUGCUUAUGUAAUGAACC